rnacentral:rRNA from 1 species
AGAUGGGCUCGCGUCCGAUUAGCUAGUUGGUGAGAUAACAGCCCACCAAGGCGACGAUCGGUAGCCGACCUGAGAGGGUGAUCGGCCACAUUGGAACUGAGAGACGGUCCAGACUCCUACGGGAGGCAGCAGUGGGGAAUAUUGGGCAAUGGGCGAAAGCCUGACCCAGCAACGCCGCGUGAGGGAAGAAGGGUUUCGGCUCGUAAACCUCUGUCCUAUGGGGCGAGGGAAGUGACGGUACCAUAGGAGGAAGCCCCGGCUAACUACGUGCCAGCAGCCGCGGUAAUACGUAGGGGGCGAGCGUUGUCCGGAAUGAUUGGGCGUAAAGGGCGCGUAGGCGGCCUGCUAAGUCUGGAGUGAAAGUCCUGCUUUCAAGGUGGGAAUUGCUUUGGAUACUGGUGGGCUGGAGUGCAGGAGAGGAAAGCGGAAUUACCGGUGUAGCGGUGAAAUGCGUAGAGAUCGGUAGGAACACCAGUGGCGAAGGCGGCUUUCUGGACUGAAACUGACGCUGAGGCGCGAAAGCGUGGGGAGCAAACAGGAUUAGAUACCCUGGUAGUCCACGCGGUAAACGAUGAAUGCUAGG